rnacentral:rRNA from 1 species
UUUAUUAAAAACAUGGCUUUUUGAUUAUGAUUUAAAGUCUAGCCUGCCCAAUGAGGAGUUGAAUGGCUGCGGUAUUUUGACCGUACAAAGGUAGCAUAAUAAUUAGUUUUUUAAUUGGAAGCUGGAAUGAAAGGUUGGAUGAAAAAAUUACUGUCUCUAUUUUAUUUGUAUUGAAUUUUAUUUUUGAGUGAAAAAGCUCAAAUUUUAUUAAAAGACGAGAAGACCCUAUAGAGUUUUAUAAUAAAAAAAAUUUUUUUAUUAGGAAUUUAUAAAAAAAAAUUUUUUUUAUUAUUUAAUUGGGGUGAUUAAAAAAUUUAAUUAACUUUUUUUUUAUAAUAACAUUAAUUUAUGGGUAAUUGAUCCUUAUAUAAAGAUUAAAAGAUUAAAUUACCUUAGGGAUAACAGCGUAAUUUUUCUUUAGAGUUCUAAUCGAAAGAAGAGAUUGCGACCUCGAUGUUGGAUUAAAAUUUUAUCUUGGUGUAGCAGUUAGGAUUAUAGGUCUGUUCGACCUUUAAAAUUUUACAUGAUC